GGCCUAGCUGGUCUCUGUAGGUGCACUCUGCAGGGAGGCAGUCAGGGCUGUAAGCAUGGUGGGUGGGGAGGCUAAUUGUGGCCAUUUUCUGCGCAUACCUACAAAGGCUAUGACAUCCCUCUGAGCCCCAUCCUUGAAGGCAGGAAGGUUUUUGCCAUGUUCCAAUGGUCUGAGGCUGGUGUCCUUGACAGGACAGGCUCACAUCGACAACACACAUUCACUCAGGACAUCACUCCCUACAGUAGGGCAUCACACUACCAUCCAGGAUCUGCCCCAGAGGCAGUGGCCUUGACCGGAGAACUGCCUGGACCCUGAAGCUUCAGGCACCACAGCCACCAUAAUCAGAGCCUGAUUUUAUUAUCUCCCUUUCCAUCCUCUGAGGUCCCGUGCACUGGCGCCACUGGCCUGACCACAUGCCAAGAGCCACACGGAUCUUCCAGCCCUACCCAAAUCCCAGCCUGUGCUUGCUCAGUCCUCUCUGCCUCUGACCCUCCCUCCAGCCGUACCAACAGAAGCUCUUACGUUUUCAAUACAUCUGACUAAAUUGCAAUUUCCUGAUGCCACUCUGCAAAAUUUGCCCUUUCCUAUUCCUGCGGUACUGUAUUUUUUUCAAUCAUUAGUCUCCAGGCUGGAGCGUCUUAGCCAACUGUUUGUUUUGAGACAGGAUCUUGUUGUGUAACCCAGGCCUUCCUCAAACUCGCAAUCCUUCUGGUCAGACGGGUGCUUUCAGAAGUCUUUUUAGCUGCGUGUAUCUUUGUACCUGAGUGUCUGUGACGUAUGCGUGCACUGGCGCACACAAGCACACACAAGCACACACACUUGCAGAGGUCGGAAAAGGUUACUGGACCUCUAGAACUGGAGUUGCAGGUGCUUGUGAGCCAUCUGAUGUGGGUGCUGAGAACCGAACUCGGGUCCUCCGUAAGAGUGGUGAGUGCUCCAUAGCUCUGAGCCAUCUCCCCAGCCCUGACUCUUACCUUCUCCCAGAUGUGAAGGCUAACCCCUUGCCCCCAUUCUCCAGCAGGGUGUUCAGUGCAGGUAGAAGUCAGGGGGCUCUGGCUGGCUUAGAUGUUGGCACUGCCUUGACUGUCGUUAAAAUUAUUAUUAUUUUUUUUAAGAUGUUCUUUGUGUUGUCUAUGUAGAGGUGGUUUUUCAACAUAUGUCGGCAUGCCCUGUGCAUGCAGUACCUGUGGAAGCCAGCUGAGGACGCUGGCUGUCCUCUGACUGGAGUUAGGGACAGUUGUGAGCCUCCCUGUAGGUGCUGGGAACCAAACCUGGGUUCUCUGCAAAAGCAGCCAGCACUCCUAACCAUUUCCCCAGCCCUCUGCUGGGAAUACUUAGAGGCUUUGUAGCACAAAAAAAAAAAAAAAAAACAAAAAACAAAAACAAAACACAACAAAAAACAUCUCUAGAGCUUCAGAAUAGUCAGUCUCUGGGGAUGCACCCCAGUGUGAUCAAAUGUUAUCAUUCUUUUGUACCAAAAAGGUCAGCCAGGCAACCGUGUCCAUUCGUGGAGAACAGCAGCCUCACCAAUGCAGGGGACCAGGCCCCUGGUGUUUAGUCCCAGGGCUGAGUUGUGAAGAACUCAGAAGUGGUCCUAGAAAAAAACCCAGACCUCAUAUUUGCUCAAAUUAUUCCUAGGAAUUUUGCCUCCCCUCUCCCCCCAUCCCCAUCCCAUAACUGGAAAUAGGUACCUUAUAAAUUCUGAGGUCACAAAUCCAAAGAGUUAUCCCUAAGGGUCCAACCAUGUGCACUGACACCCUCCUCAUCCUCUGGGCAGGACCUGAGGUAACAGACCCACACAGGUAGAAUCAGAGCAUCAGGAAGUGUAGACUCCCUCAUUCUAAAGACCUCACCCUCAGACCUGACUUGCUGACGGAUGGUCUAGCGACCCAGAACAUCGCGUUCAGUGAUGUGGAGCACUACACACCAGGAAAAUCAAAUAAAAGGAAAUGAGAGCAAAAAUGCAGAGGGCCCAAGCACAAAGUGGUGGCAUCCCCACUUGUAGUCCCAGCUGCCCUCGUGAGCGGAGAACGCUGUCUGUAGAGGUUUGCCAAGGGUCAUGUAAAAACAGUUACGACCAUUAUAUCUUUUUAAACAAGAGUUUCUGGAGACAUGGGGUGCAAAAAAAAUCUCAGUUAUUCAAUAAGCCGGUGUCUUGAGUCAGCCUGGGAGUCCAUGAGAGGCCAAGCAGAAUCACUUCCUCCCGACUGGGGGUGGGGGCAGGGCGUGGUGGGGAUGGGGGCCCCAGCCUUCCAUUCCAGCUGUGUCUUAUCCUCAGGAGAGAGCAGGGGAUCCAGGGUGUAGCCAGCAGGUCUCCUGGGCAGGGACCCUUCAUUCCAGGCUCACGCUUGCUUCUCAUUUGCCAGUCUGACAUGAAGGAAACAGGCAGGUCUCCUGGGCGCCUGUGUCAAGGCAAGAAUGUUCUCUUCUCCCUGGAAUCUUGGCAGCCUUGGUGGGCACAGGGCUUUCUUUUAGACUCUUCAAAGCAAUGCCUGUGUCUCUGGGCACAUGCUUGUCACCUUCUCUAGCCCAACUCCAUGGGCUGGUGUUUAUUAAUGUCAUCCCUCUCUGCUCAGGUUUAUACUGUACCUCAUUUUGACUGUGUUUGUGUGUGUAUAUAUGUGUUGGGAGGUCAUUGUGUAGUGCAUGCCUGUAGUCCAAGCAUCAGGAGAGAGGCAGGAGGAAAGCCUCAACUUCAGAAGGCCAGCCUCGCCUACCUAGUGAGACCUUGUUUCAACAGACUAACAGUUUGGAAGAUAGCGCAGUCUACGAAGCGCUUGCUCGUGUGCAUAAGCAUUAGACCUUAGUUGGAUCCCCAGGACUCGCCGAGAAGUCAGGUGUGCUGGGACAUGCCUGUAACCCCAGCUCUGAUGGGUAGAGAGAGGAAGAACCCUGGGCUGUCUGGAACGACACCUGAAGUUGAUCUCCGGCCUCCUUGAGCACACGCACGCACGUGGCGCACAUGUAGACAAACAAGCACACGCACAAAACUCGUAAGUGAAAAAUAAUAAAAACGUUAAAAAUAGAAGGAGGGCUUGGGCUAGCAGUUCUGAGCCCGUUUGAGGUGUCACUCCCUCUCCGGGAUCUAAUGGAACAAGUGGACCCUCUCGCUGGAAGAACUCCCAGGCAGCCAGGACUGUGCGCACAGUUUGCGGCUUUCAAGGACCAGAGCCCUAGCCUGGGAACUGAGCUCUUGAGGGAGGGGACAGAGAGACGCAGAGGUAGGGAGUGGUGACUGGUGGCAGUCCUACCCAGACUAGUCACAGCUAGUGUCUCCUCUCAUACUCAGGCUAACUGGGGUGCCCGGUUAACAAAUCAAAGCUGCCAGCCCCCCCCCCCCCGAGUCCCUAAUCACAGCUACCUGUUACAGGGUCACCCUGGCUGGCGUACCCUGCUUCCUUCCCUUAGCUUCUCCUCUGCUUCCUGACCUCAGCCAUUUUGGCUGUGCAGUCUCUUGUUGCUCUUGGUUCGUACAUACUCUCUUGGCCUCCUCCCCCAACCCAGACAUCCCUCAUCCCCUCCCUCCCCAGCCCACUCCACCCCAUCUCCUCCCCGCAUCUCAUUGCCUAGUUCAAUCUGCUGGCCUUGUACAGUCUGGCCCCUUCCAGACACCUCUGGCUGUUUUCUCCCUCGUUAUCUACAAUAAACCUCCUCAGCCAUACCUAGGAACAUCGUGUCCUCAUUUUUUUUAAAAAUCGGUCCGCAACUGUGCUAGGCCACAGCAGAGAUACAUGGCCGUGUGCUGGGACUUGUGCACUGGAGCUGAAGGAAACUGGCUCUAGAGUCCCAGAGCAGCCUGCUUGCUGGAGGAGCCAAGUAGUGCUAUGUCCGACUGGUAGGUUGGGGCCCUCUCAGCCAAUUUGACAUGGGCUACCAGCGGCCUUCUGGCCAAAGAGGUAGGGAAGGGCUUGGUCACUUCAGACCAUAAAUGAAUGGAAUGGGGACACAAUCGUCCAAGGUAUGGCUGAGGACAAGGUUUUUUAUUGUAGAUGUGAGGGAGAGUAUUGCCAAGGCGUCUGGAAGAGUCCAGAGCAGCGAGAGAGAAAGUAGUACAUGGAACAUGGCCUGUAGUCUAAAUAGGGCCGUGAGGGGUUGUGGGAGAUGGAGAGAGGGAGGGAAGAAAGAGGGGCAGUAGGAGGGAGCCAAGCAGACGAAGAGCCAAGAGCCAAGGACCAAGAGAGCACAUGGUCAAAAAGGCAGGGCUAUAUAGGAAUCUGAAACAGGGGUAAGGACAGCGAGGCCCAUGGGCUGGAGACAGUUAGGAGAGGGGGCGUGGCAAGAAGAGCUGAGAGGAACCUCAAGGACUGAGUGAUCCUGGAGGCCCCCUGUGAGCUUUGGUAUGCCAGUAAGCAUUUGUGCUGGGUUUCUUUUGUGCCUGAUGCUAACUAAGGUCUUGUCUUUUCUGUGAGGGACUCACAGAAGUAGCAUGUGAUUGCUAGGGUAUCACUCUGUUCAGACCCGGGGAAAAACGGGGAAGUUUUUGCAUCCAGAUUUCAUCCCAGGACAUCAUCACAGGGGAUUUUGGAAUCUGGCGCAGCGCGUCCAGGAAGCAAGCACAGUGAUCCUUUGUAGCCCAGCACUCGUGCGGAGCUCCUGCUGUGCGGUGACUCAAGGAGGGUAGAAUUUCCCUCGGGCCCAGCCAGCUGGACAAGUCAGCGCUCUUCUCCUCGCAGGCAGGCCCCAGCACAGAGGAGCAGGGCCUGACGACGGGGAGGUUCCGAGGUGGGUGGGAGAGGAGGGAAGACAACCCACCAUGCACUGAAGCCCCUCAGUCAGGGUUUCCCCUCAUCCCCCACCCCCGAGCUUCCCAGCAUUCCCAGCACUGGUCCCACAUCAAUCGAAGACAGACACCUACCUGCACAUGGCUGCUUAGCUGAGUGAGACUGCUCCCAUCCACACCACACAUGGCGAGGCUCAGGCUUCAGGGGCUCCCCAGCUUUUAGGUCUAACCCUCACCUCACUGUGAUUUUUAAUGCCAACAGUUUUGUUCUUACUGGUAGGUUCUCUGGACUCUGUGUAUGUGGGGGGAGGGGGUGUUUCUUCCAGGCAGGGUCUCACUUAACUUGCCCAGGCUGGCUUUGGACUCACUCUGUAGCCCAUGCAGGCCUUGAACUUGCCACCCCAGAUAGCUGAGCUGACAGGCAUAAAUAUGCACUAUGAGGUGAGGUGUGAUUAUUGGCAGUCAUGCAGUCCCUGGCACGGUGAGGAUGACAGGUAGAACUCGGGGGAGUGGGGGGGAGCCACUGUUUUAGUCUGUGCAAGGAGGUGAUGAAUCCAUGACUUUCCUGUGGCCUUGGGAGCUCCUGAUGCCAGCGAGCAAAGACAGUCUACCAUAUACCAGCCCAUUGCCGUCACCAGGGAAGCACCUAGAACCACAUAAUUUCCUCCAAAAGUUCUCCCUUUGACUAAGGAGGUGAAAGUUAGCCAUGUCCUCUGGAUCUGGGGAGGGAGACACACUCUACAGAUGCUAGAAUGGAAGGGUUGCUGUCCUGACCAGAGCCAUCUUGGUCAGGACACACUGAAUCAAGAGGACAGGCCCUUGCCAUGAUGGCUCAGGCAUGCGAGGCAGAUGCCAACUGUCAUCCUGGAUACUGGCAAUGCCAAUCGAUUAUGCUUACUAGUUAUCAGUUCUCUGCAGAGUAACCUCUUGGGUGUGGCGGGGCCUUGCAGAUGAAUCCGCCACAGGCCUGCUUCUCCGCCGGUAUUCUGCUCAGUAGGGGAAAGGGAGGCCGUUCUAGGUCAUCCAAACUCUGGUCCUGCCCUCUUAUCCCUGGCUUACGCCUAGUCUUCGCUACACCAGACACCCUGGGGUCCUAGGCUCCCAGAAAUUAGUAAGUCCAGAUAUACAUGGCCUGGCGGCGCUCUUUUCGCCUCACACCAAGGUCAGCCAGCUCCAAGGCAGGUGCCUGGCCCUGGGCUGUGGAUCCUCAAGUCCCUUGUUGGCAGGACUACACUGAUAGAGGAGGCCUAGGACGCUCCCGCCCACCCCCUUUUCAUUGGCUCUGAAGGAGGAUCCAUUGGAAGGUGGCCCACUCAGGCGAGUGUGGCAGGGAAAAGGCCGUGGUGCCAUGGUGCCCCUCCUAGCGACAUGCCCUCUCUCUCUCAACGCUCCUGUAAAUUGGCUGCUCCCUUUCCAUCCCCACUCCUUCCUCAGGCCCACUGCCCACGACAAAGUGAGUCCCCAGGGAUCAGAACCCAGCUCCCAUCUCGCCCGGCCUCUUCCUGCUGUGACUUGGGCAGGGUACCUAACUUCGUAAGCUUGUUUCCUUGUCGGUAGAGAGGGGAGGAUGACUGCUCCUGUUCUCUUCAAGACGGCCCGUCUUGUCCUUAGAGGGUCCUGGGGAUGAGGAUGGAGACGGGGAUUUGGGACCAGCACUUGAACGACGGCGUCAGGAGGGUGGGUGUCAGUGAAUGGGUAGAGGACAAGUAAUCGAGCCUACUAGAAGAAACUGCAGAGCUUCCUGUGUGUGUCCGGGGACAUGAUGGGAGCAAUCCCCACCCCCAGCCUUCGGGUUUGUUGAAUGCCUGACACUGUGGAUUUUCCCAAAUGUUUAGUCCUCCUGACAAGCCUGUGAGGUUGAUGUUAUCCUGCCCAGAUGAGCUGGCUAAGGCCUCUGAGGCGGCAUGUGCUGAGUUAAGCGUUACUAACUGUAGAGGCAGUGACAGAGUCCCACCCCUCCAGCUACAUGCCUUCCUCAGGUGGUGACUUUCUGGGCCUGGAAUGUGUCAGCGUCUGACUGUACUUCCAGGUGUAGUGGCCUUCAGAGUUGGAGCUCUCUUGCUGUCUAGGCACCAGCUCAGAGGGCACAGACUGUCCUUGGCUGCCCCGUGAGGGAUGGGGAGCAAAUCUGGGAGUGUCCCUGCAGCCCUGACCCAGAGCCAGGACUUUUCCCCCUACCUCAAGGGGAGAGGGAGGAGCUUUCCCAUGGGGAUUUCCCCAAGGGACUGGAGUGGGCUUUUUUUCCCUGGGGUCAGAGAAGGACAAUUCAUGUUGGCUGAGGUGGGGAAUCCCCUGUGGAUUUCAUGGUGCCAAUGGGAGGAGCUUGUUGUUUUCCUGAAGCACCAGUCCUUAAGGGAGAAGAAAGACUAGGGUCUGUCGCAAUUGGCCUCAUAGCCACUCCUUGGUGUCUGGAUCUUCAUCUCCCCCUCCCUCACCUUACUUGCUGCCGCUGCCGUGAGACCAUGACACCAGGCCGGGACACUUGUCUUAAAAGCUGAAGGGAACAGUCUGAGAUUUGGAGCCUCUAUCCACUUCUGAGGAGAAAUAAGACACCAGAUUGGUGGCACUCGGUAGAAACAAGGUGCGGAGCGGGCAGCGACGCAGAAGAAAGCAACUGGGAGAGUCGGGAAGGCCAAGAUCAGAUAGCCCCGUCUCAUGGCUCUCAUGCAGUGUGGCAUGAAAGCGGUGGCAGCCAGCAGGGCAGGGCUCGCUGAGGGCGGCCCUUCCAUUCCAGUGACCCAGCCACCUCCAGCGUUCCACAGAGCCAGUGAUUUCAGAGCGGGCAGACCCCGUUCAAGACACAGCAGCGCUUCCAGGGGAAAUAUGCCUGGCUGUGGGCCCACAGGAUGGCCUUCCUGCUCCCUGCUCGGCCACCCAAAGGCCAAACCCUUCCAGCUCUCUCCAGAGCUCCCACAUGGGGCUCCGAAGUCAAGGAAGGCCUUGAACAGUUUAGUUCUAGACCAAGAAUUUACUAAAACGCCCGCCUCAACACACACACACACACACACACACACACCCGCCCGCUGCAUAUGGUUCCUCUGGUGUCCUGCCGAAUCUCAGUCUAAAUGACAAAAAAAUAAAAAUGUUCACUGGCUACUUGAUGUAAGUCAGCAUGUCUAUACCAAAAUGUAUUGCUGGAUGGGGGUGCCACUGGCGUGGGGGACUGCUGGCGUGGGUGAGGGAGUGAUGUUGUUGACUGACGUUGUGGGGUGCUGCUGACGUAGGGUAAUGCUGACAUGGGGGGGCUGCUGAUGUGACUGGAGAAAGGCAGUUUUUAAAACCGUGUGUAGCCUCGGACCAAGCAAUCUGCUCUAUAGAACUGAGGAAGAACCAUGUCUAGGCCAAGGGGAAUGCACAAGGUGUCUAGAAGUGCUGUUUAUAAGGGAAACUUCGGGUAGCCUCGGGAAACUUCCAAAAGAAAUGAUUCGGGAGCCAGUUGGAUUGCCUAGUUUUUAGAGCUUGCUUGCCACCAAGCCUGAGUGUGACCCUAGCUCCCACGCAUGGCCUUCUGACUUCCGCACCCUCAGGUGGCACAUGUGUAUCCUCGCAUUCAACUACACACUAAAUAAAAUUUAAAAAGAAAAGAAGUUGUUCACCGUUUCCCCAUCUAUCCAAGGGUGUGUCAGACACCAGAGCGAUAUACACACAUAUUUAUUGAGAAAUAUGUUAUUUGUAGGGUUUUUCCCUUUUUUCCCUUAAGGUUUCUCUGUGUAGCCCUGGCCGUUCAGGAGCUCUCUAUGUAAACCAGUCUAGCCUCUAACUCAAAGAUCCACCUGCCUCUGCCUCUGCCACCCAGCUCUGUUGUUUGUGUUUGGAGACAGCAUGUCACUGUUUUGCCCUGGCUGGCCUGGAAAUCGCCAGUCUAGCUUGAAACUCACAGAGAUCCACCUGCCUCUGCCUCCUGAUGCUGUGAUUUCCAGCUGUUUGUUUCUGAGAUAGGACAUUAUGUAGCCCAGGCUGGCUCUGGGCUCAUUGUACAGCCUGACCUGGAAAGCUUGAGCUGCCCGUCUCCACCCUCAAGUGCUGGGAUAACAGGUGUGCACCGCUGUACCUGGCAAUGUGUUUGGAUAUAUUGGCUUUAAGCAAAGAACAAAUAGAGAGACCUUACAUCAUAUAGACAGGAGCUUUGCAUCCUUGGAAGUUGAAAAUGACCAGUCUCUUAGCCUCGGCCUGUCUCCCACACCUGGAAAAAGUGAUACCUCCAAGACUUUGGCAGGUAUCAUGUGCUGAGUACUCGGCCAUGUGUGUCCGGAACACAUGGACCUGGAGGGCUCUGCAGCAGCCUUGAUGUUCUGUUUUGUUUUGGAGGGAAAGCUAACAGUGAGUCAUUUCACUAUUUCCUUGUUUUCUACAAGGCAUACUUCUACGAUGAUGGCAUACUUUUUUUUUAUGUGCAUGUUAUUUUAAUGUGUAUAUAUAUUUUUAGUGCAGCCAUUGAAGAGUUGAGAAGAGGGGGCAGGGGUGGCAAGAUGGCUCAGUGGGUAAAGGCCCUUAUCAUCUGAUAAUGCAAGCCUAGAAACCUGAGUUCAAUCCCCUACACCUACACAAAGGUGGAAGGAGAAAGCCAACUGUACAAAACUGUUGUUCUCCCCGCAUCACACACAGAUACACAACAUUAAAUGUUAAAACUUUUUUUUUUUUUUUU